GCAUAUAAGCCCGACGGUUUAACCGAAGAUUCGUACGGUAAUAACUGUUGUAAUCGUCAGACGCCAUUUUGUGCCUCGUUUCGCUGUUGAGCGUCACGAAAGUUUCAUCCUUUUUAUUUUAAUUUAAUUUCGCCAAAACGUCGCAAUUACAUAAAAUGGUGUCUUCUAAUCAACCGAGAAAAACAAAAAUAUUUGUGGGGAGGUUACCAGAAAAUUGUCGCAACGAUGAGUUGCGACAAUUAUUUUCACGGUUUGGCGAGGUGACGGAAUGCGAUGUUAUGAAUCGAUAUGGCUUCGUACACAUGGCACGAGAGGAAGAUGCAGCUGCAGCCAUCAAGGCACUCCAUAAUUCUAAUUUCAAGGGGGCAACCAUCAACGUAGAGCAGUCAACUGGGAAGUCACGCGGAGGCGGUGGAGGACGCAGGGAUGGAGACAGAAGAGGCGGACCUAUGAGAGGUGGUAGAGGAGGACGAGACGGUGGUAGAGACGCUCGUCCUGGACCAUACAAUGAUAGAAGAGUUCUUCCGAUCCAACUCGUUGGUUACGAUGGAUCUGCUGCAGGUGGCGUCGCAGCUGGCUAUACCGAUUACAAUCGUGGUGCUGGGGACUUUAGUGGACGAGGGACUGACUUUGGCACUGGGUAUACCGACCGUGGAGCUUAUGGCCAGAACGUGGGAACUGCUGCGAUGGGAUACACUUCGACGGCGCCAGGGAUGGGUGGAGGCUAUGGACCUGCUGCUGCUGUAGGAGGAUAUGGCCCAACAGGAACAGCUGAUUAUGGCAGGACUGCUGAUUAUACCCGUGCUGCUGAUUUUGGAGCGAGAACAGAUUAUGUUGGAGCUGGUAUGGCAGGAGAUUUUAACCGUGGAGCACCAGGUCCAGUUGAUUAUGGUCGUACAGAUAAUUUUGGGGCAAGUCGCACAGUUGAUUAUACUGCAAGAAAUGAUUAUGAUCGUUCUGCGACCGGACCAAUGAGAAAUGGCGGUGCUGCUGUUGCCACAACAGGAUAUGGUACUGGAUACACUGAUGUUGGAUAUGAUGAGAGUCAUUGGCCAAUGAGUACUGGUUCCAGCUAUAGUACCGGUGCUCCCAGUUAUAAUACUGGUCCUGGACCACAAGCGGAUAUGUUUAGUAGAAGACCUGGUAGUGCCGUUCCCAGUGGUGGAUACCCACCUGUUGGUGGAGGCUAUACCGAAGGAUACGACAGACCUGAUGCAUACGGACCUCCUCCACGUGGCGGCGGCCGCUUCCCAGGUCCGGCAGAUGCGAUGCCACCGAGAUUACAAACUGGCUGAGAAGAGAAGAAACUGCUCAACUUUAAGAUGAGAACUCAAGGAAGCUGAACUUUGAAAUGAAUACUACGAGGAGCGAUACCACCAUGAGUACUUACUUUACCAGAUUGUUGGAUACAUUUGGCCAUUGGAUAUGGACAACUAUACGAGCAUAAAGAAUGAAAUGUAUCAAAGACAGACAGUACGGAUUUAGGAAAGGACGGGUUGACAUUAGGAGCUAAUAACGAUCUUCUUAAAGUCUACCGAAGAACUGAAGAGACCUAUCACGCGACGCGAUGCAUAGUUGUAUUAGCAACCAUAGAUGUUAAAAACACGUUUAACACAGCGAGGUGGGCAGAUAUGCAAACUAUAAAGGUCUUCAAUGUGUUACUCUAUUUUUGGGAUAUGCUAAAGGACCUUCACCUAUGGGAACGACAAAUUCCAGGAGUGAUUCUCAUCGAUUUUCUAGCGGCUGAACGUAAAAGGAUCUUUGAGAGAGACAGUGAUGAGACGGAUCGCAACUAAACAACAGUAGACGAAAGGUGACAGACAUUCAACUUUUCGAGGGAAAAAAAAAAUAAUAAAAAGAAGAAAUAGUCCUUGUCAGUUUAAUUUCAG